AGGAACAGAUCGUUUACCGUGAAAAAAUUAGAGUGUUCAAAGCAGGCAGAUCCAAUUUUCKGCCACCGAAUACAUUAGCAUGGGAUAAUGGAAUAGGACCCUGUCCUCCUAUUUUCAGUUGGUUUUGGCAGCGCGAGGACUAGGGUAAUGAUUAAUAGGGAUAGUUGGGGGCAUUAAUAUUUAAUUGUCAGAGGUGAAAUUCUUGGAUUUAUGAAAGAWUAACUUCUGCGAAAGCAUCUGCCAAGGAUGUUUUCMUUAAUCAAGAACGAAAGUUAGGGGAUCGAAGACGAUCAGAUACCGUCGUAGUCUUWMCYWUAGCGAUGCCGACCAGCGAUUAGGAGACGUUGAMCUUCCCCUUUCCCCAUCGGUGCGGUCGUCCUUGGCGUCUCGGUUUCGGCCGGGCGCGGGGAUGGCYMCRMA
rnacentral:rRNA from 1 species